rnacentral:rRNA from 1 species
GAUGAACGCUGGCGGCGUGCCUAAUACAUGCAAGUCGAGCGAACAGACGAGGAUCUUGCUCCUCUGACGUUAGCGGCGGACGGGUGAGUAACACGUGGAUAACCUACCUAUAAGACUGGGAUAACUUCGGGAAACCUGAGCUAAUACCGGAUAAUAUAUUGAACCGCAUGGUUCAAUAGUGAAAGACGGUUUUGCUGUCACUUAUAGAUGGAUCCGCGCCGCAUUAGCUAGUUGGUAAGGUAACGGCUUACCAAGGCAACGAUGCGUAGCCGACCUGAGAGGGUGAUCGGCCACACUGGAACUGAGACACGGUCCAGACUCCUACGGGAGGCAGCAGUAGGGAAUAUUCCGCAAUGGGCGAAAGCCUGACGGAGCAACGCCGCGUGAGUGAUGAAGGUCUUCGGAUCGUAAAACUCUGUUAGUAGGGAAGAACAAAUGUGUAAGUAACUAUGCACGUCUUGACGGUACCUAAUCAGAAAGCCACGGCUAACUACGUG